ACUCACUCAUCAUCAUCAUUAUCAAUUUAUCAUCAUUCAUCCCACUUUCUUAUUGCAUAAACUCUUUCUAAUUUCCUUCUUCACAUGUCCAUUGCCUCAACUACCACCACCACUAGAAAGAAAAAGAAAAAGAGAAUCAUAUAUAUUUACCCACAAUAUCAUGACUUCUCUAAAGAAGAAGAAGAAGAGGAGAAGGAAACCCUAGCCUACUUAUGUUGAUCUCAUGAAUGGAUCUGGUCCAUCCUUCCUUCUUUCUAUCUCAGCUGGGAAUUGAAGCUCAACGGUCCGAUUGUUUACUAGAUCCAUCUAAAUCUAUACAUGUACCAUGGAGUGGUUAAUUAAUUUGUAAUAUAUAAUUGGUGAUCAUCAAGAAGCAGGAAGAUAUAUCAAAUAUGUCUAAAUAUGUGUAUCCGCAUACAUAGGGCAGAAACCUGACAUUCUUUCCAUAUUUAUGUAUGCUAUUAAAUAAUGUUGUUUGGAGACCAUGAAUCACUUAUUGAAAGUUUUUAUAUACAUAUAUAUAUAUUUAUAUGUUAAUUUGAUUGUCAAUAAAAUUUGUCAUGUAUUCAUCAUGCAUGUAUGUUCUUCUAAAUAUAAUAUAUUGUUUUGUA